UUACAACAAUGGCUUUAGUGGCGGACUGGUGAGUAACGCGUAAGGAACCUGCCUUUUAGAGGGGAAUAACAAUGAGAAAUCAUUGCUAAUACCGCAUAUGCCGAGAGAAUCACAUGGUACAAUCGGGAAAGGAGCAAUCCGCUAAAAGAUGGCCUUGCGUCUGAUUAGAUAGUUGGUGGGGUAACGGCCUACCAAGUCGACGAUCAGUAGCCGGACUGAGAGGUUGAACGGCCACAUUGGGACUGAGACACGGCCCACACUCCUACGGGAGGCAGCAGUAGGGAAUCUUCGGCAAUGGACGGAAGUCUGACCGAGCAACGCCGCGUGAGUGAAGAAGGUUUUCGGAUCGUAAAACUCUGUUGUUAGAGAAGAACAAGGAUGAGAGUAGAAUGUUCAUCCCUCGACGGUAUCUAACCAGAAAGCCACGGCUAACUACGUGCCAGCAGCCGCGGUAAUACGUAGGUGGCAAGCGUUGUCCGGAUUUAUUGGGCGUAAAGCGAGCGCAGGCGGUUUCUUAAGUCUGAUGUGAAAGCCCCCGGCUUAACCGGGGAGGGUCAUUGGAAACUGGGAGACUUGAGUGCAGAAGAGGAGAGUGGAAUUCCAUGUGUAGCGGUGAAAUGCGUAGAUAUAUGGAGGAACACCAGUGGCGAAGGCGACUCUCUGGUCUGUAACUGACGCUGAGGCUCGAAAGCGUGGGGAGCAAACAGAAGGAGAUACCCUGGUAGUCCACGCCGUAAACGAUGAGUGCUAAGUGUUGGAGGGUUUCCGCCCUUCAGUGCUGCAGCUAACGCAUUAAGCACUCCGCCUGGGGAGUACGGCCGCAAGGCUGAAACUCAAAGGAAUUGACGGGGGCCCGCACAAGCGGUGGAGCAUGUGGUUUAAUUCGAAGCAACGCGAAGAACCUUACCAGGUCUUGACAUCCUUUGACCACUCUAGAGAUAGAGCUUUCCCUUCGGGGACAAAGUGACAGGUGGUGCAUGGUUGUCGUCAGCUCGUGUCGUGAGAUGUUGGGUUAAGUCCCGCAACGAGCGCAACCCUUAUUGUUAGUUGCCAUCAUUUAGUUGGGCACUCUAGCGAGACUGCCGGUGACAAACCGGAGGAAGGUGGGGAUGACGUCAAAUCAUCAUGCCCCUUAUGACCUGGGCUACACACGUGCUACAAUGGGAAGUACAACGAGUCGCAAAGUCGCGAGGCUAAGCUAAUCUCUUAAAACUUCUCUCAGUUCGGAUUGUAGGCUGCAACUCGCCUACAUGAAGCCGGAAUCGCUAGUAAUCGCGGAUCAGCACGCCGCGGUGAAUACGUUCCCGGGCCUUGUACACACCGCCCGUCA
rnacentral:rRNA from 1 species